AGGGAUACUAUGAUGACUGCAUAGUUCAGCGGAUAUUCCAUGAAGAACAAACAUUGUCUUUCGCUCCUAGCUGACGUAUCCUC